rnacentral:rRNA from 1 species
GACGAACGCUGGCGGCGCGCCUAACACAUGCAAGUCGAACGGAGCUUAACUAACUGAAGUUUUCGGAUGGACGUCGGUUAAGCUUAGUGGCGAACGGGUGAGUAACGCGUGGGUAACCUGCCUUUUAGAGGGGGACAACAGUUGGAAACGACUGCUAAUACCGCAUAAGACCACGGUACCGCAUGGUACAGUGAUCAAAGGAGAAAUCCGCUAAAAGAUGGGCCCGCGUCUGAUUAGAUAGUUGGUGGGGUAACGGCCUACCAAGUCGACGAUCAGUAGCCGGACUGAGAGGUUGAUCGGCCACAUUGGGACUGAGACACGGCCCAGACUCCUACGGGAGGCAGCAGUGGGGAAUAUUGGCACAAUGGGGGGAAACCCUGAUGCAGCGACGCCGCGUGAGGGAAGAAGGU